AGAUGUCCCUGCAGGAGAUGCAUCUGUCCGCUCCCCACUCAUUUCAUCUCAUCUGAACAGAUCUCAUCUCAUCAGAACAGAACUCAUCUCAUCUUAUCCCUCCACACCCACACCCCACUACACCACCACACCCCACUACACCACCUCCACACACCACCACACCACCUCCACACACCACCUCCACACACCACCACCACACACCACUACACCGCCUCCACACACCACUACACCACCUCUACACCACCUCCACACCCCACUACACACCUCCACACACCACUACACCGCCUCCACACCCCACUACACCACCUCCACACACUACUACACCACCUCCACACACCACUACACCACCUCCACACACCACUACACCACCUCCACACGCCUCCACACACCACUACACCCCUCACACAACCACACACUCCACACGCCUCCACACCCCACUACACCACCUACACACCCCACUACAACACCUCCACACGCCUCCACACCCCACUACACCACCUCCACACACCACUACACACCUCCACACCACCUCCACACCCCACUACACCACCUCCACACGCCUCCACACACCACCACACACCUCCACACACCACUACACACCUCCACACACCACUUACACCCCUCCACACCCCACUACACCACCUCCACACCCCACUACAACACCUCCACACGACUCCACACACCACCUCCACACGCCCUCCACACACCAUCACACCACCUCUACACACACUACACACCCACACACCGACUACACACUCCACACACCACUACAACCCCCUCCACACACCACUACACCACCUCCACACCCCACUACACCACCUCCACACACCACUACACCACCUCCACACACCACUACACACCUCCACACACCACUACACCACCUCCACACACCACUACACACCUCCACACACCCCUACACCACCUCCACACCCCACCACACACCUCCACACCCCACCACACACCUCCACACACCACUACACCACCUCCACACACCACCUCCACACACCACCACAAAACAUACAUGAUGUACUUUUGAGUACAAAACCACAAAACAUACAUGAUGUACUUUUAUAUGGAUCUGGAUAG
rnacentral:lncRNA from 1 species